GCAGUUAUAGAUCAGACUGUAUAAUUGGAUUCCAGCAGUGGCUGUGUGUUGCAGUCGUGCCAUUCAAACCUUUCCUUCAAAUAUGGUUGAAAAAAAGGUAGACCUCAUCAUUUCCAGAAAAAACACUGCCAUGAUCUAAUGAAACCUUUCCAAAAAAGCUUUUUCACUGCCGUCAGAAGAACGCUUUGCUGUCCGGCCUGCUGCACAAAAAGAACCUGUAUUACGAACCGUCGGCCUGUUUGCUCUUUCAUUCUCUCACUGACUGUUAAAUGUGCAGCUCUAAAAUAAGCGCUGAAUAGUCUUCUGGUCAGAAAUAAGAGUGACUGUUUUUCCAGGCUUGUAAGACAUGAGCCAAGAACUGAAAGCAAAUAAGAGAAUUCUGAAAUUUUGCGAUUUUUGUAUUUGCAAAAGCCUCGUCACACUCCAAAAGCUCUUAAUAAGUUCAGGACGCUGUACGUUGUCACAGCACUGCCUCAUCAUUACAAUAACACAGAUUAUCUUGAGAAUUACUGUCUGACUCGGCUGUUUUAUUCAGUUAAUAUCAAUUAAACUUCCUGCACAGAUGUUUCAAAUUAAAAGCUUCCCAUUUGGCAAUUGGGCAGAAAUCCUCCGUUUACCUGGUAGGCUUUUAAUGUGAAAUAUAAGCAUUUACUUCACCAGGUGGGGAAAACCUGGUACUACUGAUGGAACGAAUGCUGUGCAAGUGUUAUGCUGAACGUACCAUGGGAGGGAUGUAUAAGCGGGCCUGUAUGGUAUGGCUCCUAUAAUAAAUACAAACGUUCUGAUCCAACAGAAGCAUUUUAAACGGCGUGAAGAAGCUCUGUUUCUAUUUUACAUGUCCAUGUUUAUAUAAUCCCAAAAAAGCUUUAGGCCUUUCUGGAAAAAUAAUCAUUUUGUAGUUGAUCAAUUAACUCAAUCAAUGCUGUAAAAUGAUUCAUCAUGGACAACCCCCACCCCCCCUCCCCCCCAUGAACGCGGACAAAGUGGAGGUAAUGCACGAAUGUUGACGGGUAAAAAGGGAAUGAGGUGAUUGGGCUCGCAAGGUUCAAAAGCAGGUUACACAUUUUGUCUAAGCCUGGGAUUUAUGUUCAGUGGGGAUUAUGGGAUGUCUGUAGUGCUGCAGCAGAUCCACACUUUGAUUUGAGAUUUAAACAGCCGCUUCCAGCUCCAUAUUGGGACUGGAGUUGCUGCCAUGUCGGUUAAUAAGUGUCUUUUAUUUAAUGGUUCCUGGUCCUAAUGGUGUACAGGUGAGUACUUUGGGCCAAAGAUACCACCACCUGAUGUCUUACUCUUUAGUUUUUAAAUAGCUUUUCAUCAGACAUCACACAACUACUGGACUGGGCGUCUUUUGCAGGUCUUGAAAUAAGAAAAAAAACCUUUUUGAAUGCUUCUAUUUUGUGUGGAGUUCUGUUGGUCCCACAUCAUGGCUUCUAAGACCAGUUUGGAGCUGUUCCCUAUUUCUCUUGUCAACAAAAGCCAUCAGUACAGUCUUUUGCGUCCUACUGAUGCUGUUGCAAAAUCAUCAUCAUCAUUAUCAUUAUAAUUAUUAUGAAGGCUCACAAACGUCUUUGUUCAGUAAUGCCCUGAAACCGCUGGUCACUGUAGUGUUUAGUAAAUGUUACUUAAAUGGGAGUAAAUAGUGGAGUAGUUGUGGAUCAACGCAGAUGCACAGAAUCAAUGGUUGGUUUAGGUCUUAUGGGAUUUGUUGACUGGAAGAUAUCAGACCAGAGGACUUGUCCUUUUUAAUAUCCGGUGUUCUAUGGGGAGGAGGAGGUCUCAUUCGGUAUAGUUUUGCUUCACACCAGCAUAACUGUUGCAGUUCGGCUGCGUGGUUCCGGCUUGUCGGCCUAACCUUUGCUUGACGUUCAGGGUUCCCGUCUGCCAAUGACUCUACAAGCCGGUUAACUCUCGCAGGCGCUCUGACUGCUUAGUUGUGGACUUUCAUAACGUACCAUUUACAUUUUUCACAAAACAUGCAAGUCAGAAAACCCUAAAAAUGGCAGAUGAGGGAUGGAUGUUUCACAACUGGACCUCAGCUUUGUUUCUAUUCCACGCCAUGUGUUUUGAUAACUGCCUCGUCCUCCUGCUGUUGCUCACACCCCCUCAUGUCAGUGAAGCAGCUGCUGUGCCUUUCUGCUUCCUUGUGCUUAUGCAGCAGUGUGUCUCCCAAGAUGAGUUGAUACUGGUCUGGUCGCUCCCUCCACCAAGCGUCCCCGGCGUGCUCUGCAAAGACCAGCUGCUGCUCCCCGAAUGUUACGCGCGCUGUAUGUGUUCACGUGCGUUUCACUAUAGUCGCUUGUGGUGUAAGUGAUCAGCUUCGCUGUGCUCGUGUCCGUUUGGUGCCGUUGUAGUGUUUGAGGUGCACAUCGGGCCUUGUGAAUUGGUGGUACAUGUGACCUUGUUGAAGCAAUUGUUGGAUAUGAGAGCUGGUUGUUUUUUUAGUUUUUUUUUAUAUGAAUUUAAAUGUUUUUAUCGGUGUUCACUGUGAUCAUGUCCUAGUUCCAACGACACAUGAGGUUGGGUUUAGUGUUCUUUCGCUCACAUUUGAGAGGAAUGAGGCCCUUGGAUAUCAUCAGAAUGAAGAUGCAUCUUUAACUUUAAUAAAAUGAAUGAAUACCCGGAAUCAAAGUCUACAAUUCCCAAGCACUCCAUAUUAAAUGCUGCCAUUUAUUUUAUAACCCGUAAAUCAAAGGGCGUCUUGUUGAAGUGCAGCUGUGAGAAAUGUGUCCAUAACUAUUAUUUUUUUUGUUAGUCCAUUGUAAAUUAUGGUUUUACUAACCAAAACGUCUGAAACUAUAAAAUCAUUUAACAACAUGGUCGUUGCACAUUGGUUGUUUAUAUUCACUGUUUUCUUUACAAAGUCCUAAAAUGCCCUUUUUUCAUUGUCUCUCUGGUAAUAUGGAAGUAAAAUCUUUUCAAAUGGGUUGUUUUUCUAUUUUCUUGUGAGGCUUUAGUGUGGAAGAGUGUCUUCUCCUCAGGUUCAGGCAUUACUGUCUCAAAAUCGAUUGCUUUGGUGUUUUUAUAUUUCUCACAUUUUUAUCUGAUGUUGUAAAUGGG
ensembl:lncRNA